rnacentral:lncRNA from 1 species
UAGUAUGUAUAUGCUCCUUUUUGGUGGCGACUGUUGUUGCUGCGAGUCCAUGCCUUAUCCAUGUGCGUGGAAAGUUAGUGUAUGAGAGGAAAAGAGGUCCUCAAACUUAAAUUUCAAGUCAAUUAUUUGAAAUCUUUGAUGGGUUUAUAAGAUUCUUUCUUAUCAAGAUUCAGUUGUCAAACUGACUCUGAAUCUAAACCAUUCAUUGUGACG